UCCCUUCUGCCUGUUUUGAAUCUAUUAUGCAUCCAAAACCCCUACCCCAAUGUGUUUGACACUGAUGGCUUGUUUGAGGCGUGACAGUAUUAAGUGUUGUUGUCUAUGACUCAAACUUGAUUCCCCUGGGAUCAUAAUCUCUAUGUUACCAUUACAUGUUGUGUAUUCUGGUUGAUUUUGUAAGUAUAACAACACUCCUAAUUGUUGUGUAUGCCUAGAAUUAACUAAUGCCUAAGUACAUAGGCUCUUUGCAGUUCCCAAUCCCUGAGCCCCUUUUGUGUGAAAUCCUUCACUCUGUAACUGUUUCCCAGCACCUCUUUCCCACUUCUUUACUUUCUUAGUUCUUAAAGCUCUAUUUCUGCACUUUCACUCUCUCUUAGACCUAAGUCCCCCCCCCCCCC
rnacentral:lncRNA from 1 species